rnacentral:ncRNA from 2 species
UAAACUGCAGUGAUAGGAAGAAGUAAUACUUGUCUCCCUGUUUAAGAGAGCUGAUGGUUGCUGAAAAUCAGUACAUAGACAAAUAUGAAAUACGUCCUUGAGCAUCUUUUGUGAACUUACAGUAGCAAAAGACGGGUAGACCGUUACAUCAUUUAAGUGGGAAAUAAUUUAUUUCCAAAUAGGGUGGUACCGCGAUAUUUUCGUCCCUUCU